GGCCACUGAGCGUUAGGCAUCAUCACCCUGUGACAUACCUAUAACGUUGCCUCGGCGGGAACAGACGGCCCCGUAACACGGGCCGCCCCCGCCAGAGGACCCCCUAACUCUGUUUCUAUAAUGUUUCUUCUGAGUAAACAAGCAAAUAAAUUAAAACUUUCAACAACGGAUCUCUUGGCUCUGGCAUCGAUGAAGAACGCAGCGAAAUGCGAUAAGUAAUGUGAAUUGCAGAAUUCAGUGAAUCAUCGAAUCUUUGAACGCACAUUGCGCCCGCCAGUAUUCUGGCGGGCAUGCCUGUUCGAGCGUCAUUACAACCCUCAGGCCCCCGGGCCUGGCGUUGGGGAUCGGCGGAAGCCCCCUGCGGGCACAACGCCGUCCCCCAAAUACAGUGGCGGUCCCGCCGCAGCUUCCAUUGCGUAGUAGCUAACACCUCGCAACUGGAGAGCGGCGCGGCCACGCCGUAAAACACCCAACUUCUGAAUGUUGACCUCGAAUCAGGUAGGAAUACCCGCUGAACUUAAGCAUAUCAAUAAGCGGAGGAA
rnacentral:rRNA from 1 species